rnacentral:rRNA from 1 species
UGCAAUGGCUGGCCGUCUAGAAUGCCAGUGUAACCGUUGUCCGCAAUGGCGUUACCGGAGUACGGGUGCGUAACGCGUAACCAACCUACCUGAAUCUGGGGGAUAGCCCGCCGAAAGGCGGAUUAAUACCGCAUAAAACCACAGACUGGCAUCAAUUACUGGUUAAAGAUUCAUUGGAUUCAGAUGGGGUUGCGUGCCAUUAGCUAGUUGGAGAGGUAACGGCUCACCAAGGCGACGAUGGCUAGGGGAGCUGAGAGGCUGGUCCCCCACACGGGCACUGAGAUACGGGCCCGACUCCUACGGGAGGCAGCAGUAGGGAAUAUUGGGCAAUGGACGAGAGUCUGACCCAGCCAUGCCGCGUGCAGGAUGAAGGCUUUCUGAGUCGUAAACUGCUUUUCUCAGGGAAGAAAAAAGGGGAUGCGUCCUCUACUGACGGUACCUGAGGAAUAAGCACCGGCUAACUCCGUGCCAGCAGCCGCGGUAAUACGGAGGGUGCAAGCGUUGUCCGGAUUUAUUGGGUUUAAAGGGUGCGUAGGCGGCCGAUUAAGUCUGGGGUGAAAGCCCACUGCUCAACAGUGGAACUGCCCUGGAAACUGGUUGGCUUGAGUACAGACGAGGGUGGCGGAAUGGAUACUGUAGCGGUGAAAUGCAUAGAUAGUAUCCAGAACACCGAUUGCGAAGGCAGCUGCCUAGACUGUAACUGACGCUGAGGCACGAAAGCGUGGGGAGCGAACAGGAUUAGAUACCCUGGUAGUCCACGCCGUAAACGAUGGAUACUCGCUGGUGGCGAUAGAUGGUCACUGGCUUAGCGAAAGCGUUAAGUAUCCCACCUGGGGAGUACGCUCGCAAGAGUGAAACUCAAAAGAAUUGACGGGGGCCCGCACAAGUGGUGGAGCAUGUGGUUUAAUUCGAUGAUACGCGAGGAACCUUACCUAGGCUAGAAUGCGCGUGACCGGCUCAGAGAUGAGCCUUUCCUU